AAAGUAGGGCUUGAACGCCGGGGCCUGAUUCUGAACGUCCAUGACCCACUUGUUAUCCGAUCUCCGUUGUUAAACUUUUUAAAUUUGUUUUGAAAUUUGUGACUGCUGUGCAACUAACUUAAGAUUCAAAACUCAUUAUUAGAUGUCGCCAGUGUCGCCCAUGUUAUGUUGUUCUUCAGGCUAUGUUGUUCUUACAUCCAUGCUUACAUCGUUAAAUGAGGCGAAAUGUGCGAAACAAAUUGUAGCUAAUUUAUACUUAUGUUCUUUUGAUUUCAAAUACCAAAUUGAACUUCGUAUCUUAUAUGUAUACUGUCAGUCAUUCUAACAAGUUGACUUAGCGCUCAGUCAAUUUCCAUCCAUUAGAUCCCCAUGCUGUCAAAUGCCUAAAACUCAUGUUUGAAGCUCACAUAUUGAGAUAUACUGGAAUAGAGGAUCGAGGAAAUGAUCUUUUCUGAAUCUUGAAAUUUUGGUGGCGUACCCUGCAACAGCAUGUUUGUUGUUAUGGUUGUUUUUACUUUGGUUUAGAAGGCAACCCAGCUAAGAGAUAGAGUUUCAGAGACAUUAUGAAGAGUGUGAAGUGAAACCUGCCAUGAGUAUGUUCAUAUACCAGAUCUGCUUGAUGAAAGUCAAAUGCCUUACUAAAUUCAUCACCUAUAUGAUAAAGCAUCAGGAAAUUUAUCUCAAUAUGGAGAAAUACUGUUGGUUGCUGUGAAUUCCAUUUUU